CAAAUUCAAUUAUUUACCAUUUUGGCUCACCAUGAAUUUGUAGAUUUAAGAUCAUUGAUUAAUGUAGCACAAAACGAGGGAAUUUAUCAAAAUAAAAUUAAGUUUCAAAAUCCUAAAUUAAACCCAAUAUCAACCAAAAUACUCCCAAUAUCCACAACCAAUGCAAUCAAAUUAUAAUUCAUACAUGCAGUCUCCCAGAAAUAUCCAAAAGCAGCAAAUGUUUAACAAUACACCCAUGGAUAUAGACAAAAUUAUUUCGUACCGAUUAGGUACCCAAACAUUCAACCCUAUUUUAACAGAGACCCAGUUCCCCAAUUUAAUUUUAAUAAAAAUUCACCUCGUCAACCACAACAAGCACCCACACUAAAUAACCCAAAUAUCCAAAGGACACAUGGAAUGAAAUGACCAAGGCCAUCGGACAGUGAACAAACUAAAAUGUCCUUUCAUGAACUCAGAAUACAAGACUUACAAGAAUAGGAACAAAACAAUCAAGAACUUUAUGACAAAGAAUACCCUGACUACAUUCAAUAUCAGGAUCGGAUUAAUAAUGAACUAUGCGAAGCACCAACCGAUCAAAAUGAACUUAAGUUUGACGAAAAUUUUCAUUACCAGCCCCGGAAAAUAUCAAUAUUUAGAAAUCAAGCACAGAUGUUGUACUUACAAAUGCUUGAUUGACACAGGAUCCACAAUUAAUAUGAUACAAAAAAUUUUUUUCUCUCUUCCAAUCCAAAAUGUAGAAUGCAAAGUUUUAACAUCUAACGGCUCCAUGAUACUUUAAAAUUCCGUUACCAUACCCAGUAACAACAUAUUUGGAACAUCCGAACAAUUUUACUUGCAUGAUUUUUCUAAAGAUUACGAUAUGUUAAUUGGCAGUAAACUCCUCAACAAAGCACAAGCUAUUAUAAAUUAUAAACCUCAGACAAUUUCACUUUUUGAUAAGACAUACCAGUUGGUAGAUUCUGACACAGACAUAGAUCAAUUUUACUUUACCCAAAAUCGACCAGAUUCAUACGAAAAUUUAAUUCCCACAGUUAUAAAAAAAAUAGAUUUUUCAAUAUUUCAAUUGGAUCAUCUUAAUCAAGAAGAAACAUCCAAAUUAAAACAUUUACUUAAAAAAUUUAAAAAGCUUCAGUAUUUGGAAGGCAAUCGUUUGACAUUUACAAAUACAAUUAAACAUGUAAUUAAUACAACACAUAAUUCUCUUAUUUAUUCGAAACAAUACCCAUUUGCACAAAUUCAUGAAAUAGUAGUUGAAAAUCAGGUACAGGAAAUGCUUGAACAGGGACUUAUUAGAGAAUGCAACUCACCCUACAAUAGCCCUACUUGGGUUGUAUCCAAGAAACCCCAUGCUUCGGGUAAAAUAAAAUACAGAUAACGAUUCCCGAUAGAUAUCCCAUGCCCAACAGGGAUGAAAUACUUGGAAAACUGGGAAAAAGCCAGUACUUUACCACAAUAGACUUAGCUAGAGGUUUUCACCAAAUAGGAAUGAACCCGGAAUUCAUACAAAAGACUGCAUUUUCGACCAAACAUUGUUUGGUUUAUUUGGAUUAUAUAAUUAUAUUUUCCACAUCUCUCGAUGAACACCUGAACUCAUUGCAGUUAGUUUUUGAAAAGUUGUCCGAAGCAAAUUUAAAAUUGCAAUUAGAUAAAUGCGAAUUCCUGAAAAAAGAAGCCACCUUUAUUGGUCACCUCAUAACACCUGAUGAAAUAAAACCGAAUCCUCUCAAAGUCAAAGCAAUAGCCUCAUAUCCAAUCCCAACUAAAGUCAAAGAAAAUUUAAAUUUAUUCCAGACUACGCCGAUAUAGAAAAACCAAUGACCCGUUAUCUAAAAGAAAGGAGCAAAAAAUAGACACAAGGAAUUAUGAAUAUUUGGAGGCAUUCGAAAAAUUAAAAACAUUAAUAACAAAUGAACCAAUUUUACAACUUCCAAAUUUUGAAAUACAUUCGUACUAACUACAGACGCAAGCAACCUUGCUCUUGGAGCGGUCCUUUCCCAAAACAAUCAUCCUAUAACUUUUAUAAGUAGAACAUUAAAUGACCAUGAAUUAAAUUACAGCGCCAUCGAAAAAGAAUUACUCGCCAUAUUUUGGGUCACUAAAACAUUUUGUCAUUACCUGCAUAGCCACCUACUCGAAAUUCGCCAAUCUUGAACAAAUUAAAACAAAAGAUUGUACUGAAUGCGAAAAUGCGCUUGUGUAUAUUUUUAACCAACUGGGCAAACCCAUACUGUUAAAAUCAGAUAGGGACGGUGCAUUCUCCAGUCUUUCUCUUAAGCGAUGGGUAGAAAGCGAGGACAUUGAAUUACAACUAAAUACAGCAAAGACGGGAGCAGCAGAUGUUGAGAGAUUGCACAAAACAAUAAAUGAAAAAAUUCGCAUAAUCAAUUCCUCCAAUGACAAUGAACUUAAAUUAGGCAAAAUGGAAAGUAUUCUUUACAUAUACAAUCACAAAACCAAGCAUGACAUUACUGGAGAGACACCUGCCCACAUAUUUCUGUACGCCGGACAACCAACACUAGACACGCCAAAAAUUAAAGAACAAAAAAUAAACAAAAUAAAUGAUGACCGACAAGAAUACAACAUUGACACUAGAUACAGAAAGAGCCCUCUUCAGAAAGGAAAAUUAGAAAAUCCAUUUAAGGAAAAUAAAAAUGUUGAACAAACUGACCCUGACCAUUACAAAAUAACUAACCGAAAUUGAGUAACUAACUAUAACCAAACACAGUUUAAAAAACGAAAAAAUUAAUGAAAUCCCAAUUCCACAGGUUCCCGGCGAACAUUGACGAUAUUAAUCCUAUUAUUCACCAUAAGCCAUGACCAACAAAUUCAAAUAAACAACAUCUAUACCGAUAGGAGAUAACCAUGCUCCUUUUUUCUAGCAAACCAAUUCAAAUGCCAUCAGUGUUCGAACACCAUGUUUGACAAUCAACUUAACAGAAAUCACUACAAUAUCGACAUAUUUUGGCAAUAAAAUUCAAAACAGUACAGACACACCACAGAUAAAAUAUUUAUACAAUAAACUAAUAAAAUAAUUAAGUGGAAUAACUUUGCAUAGGGAACAACGACAAAAACGAGGCCUUCUUAACAUUGUAGGCUCCGCUUUCAAAUAUCUUUUCGGUACACUUGACGAAUCUGAUCGAGAAAUAAUUCAAAAGAAAUUAAACGCUGUCGCUGAAAAUUCAAUUACAAAGCAUGAAUUUAACGACGUUAUAAAAUUGCUAAAUGAUGGACUACUGAGAAUUAAACAUUUUGAAAAUAACAGAAACAAUAUUAAUACACUCGUUUACGAACUCAUGCAAUUUUUUGAAUAUAUUGAAGACUUGGAAAUGGAAAUGCAGCUUUCGCGACUGGGACUGUUUAAACCAAACUUACUAAACUACGACAAACUAAGUAACGUUAACAGCCAAAACAUACUACUAAUAAAAACAUCCACCUGGAUUAAUCAUUAAAAUAAUGAAUUAUUAUUCACAUUAUAUAUACAUUCAUUACGAAUUAAUCAACACAAUUCAAGUAAUUCCCUAUCCCGAUCAUAAUGGUUAUCAGUUAGAUUACUCAAACACCCACUCAUACUUUGAAAAGGACAAUAAAGUUUAUAACCAAGAAAGUAAAGAAAUAAAUAGCGAGUGCAUCACAAAUAUAAUUAGACGUAAGAACCCAAUUUGCAAUUUUAUACCGGUUUCCACAUCCGAAAUUAUUAAAUAUAUAGAACCAAAUGUAAUUAUUACGUGGAACUUAACUAAAACUACCAUCAAACAAGAUUGUCAAAAUUUAAAUGACGACCUUAAGAUAAAUGGCAACAAAAUUAUAAAAGUAAUACAAUGUAAGGUAGAAAUUGAAAACAUCAUUUUAAGCGAAAAUGAUUUAAAACCAGAAAUUGACUUAACAUCCCCCCCACUAAACCUAACUAAAAUUAAAAUGUUAAAACAUAAAGACGUGAUAAAAUUGAUAUAACAAAACAAUACUACACUCUACAAAAUACUUGUAAUUAUUAUUCUGGCUUUGGUUACAUUACACUUUAUUCCAAAACAUAUAAAUUCAAAUAUACAUAUACUUCUGUAUAAAAAAAUAAUACGAUCAAGAAAAGAAAUUCAUUAGCAGCCUCAAAAUAUCGAGCGAGAAAACCCAGCCUAAAGAAUAGGUUGCCUUUUAAGGGGGGAGGAGUGACGUAUUCACUUCACACUCAACCUAAUUGAAAGUGACAUAUUCAUUUCACACUCCACUUAAAUGAAUCCAAUUACUGUGGCACAGCCACUUUUAAAUAAACAAAUAAAAUAUAAAACUGCGCAUCGUUUUUCGCGGUCCAGCAGCUUAAACUUAAUUAAAUAUCAAAUGUAACUAUGAACGUUUCUGGGCGGUCUUGCUCACAUAACAUAAACAAAUAACCAAUAGCCAGUAUAGUAUACUUAACAUAAACAAAUAAGCAAUAGUAAGUAUUGUUAAGAUUCUAUGUUCACCCAAAAGGCAGUCUUAAGCCGAAUCUUAAAUAAUAAAGACGUGCACUCGGAAUUCUGUGUCUGUGUUUAAUGCCCCUAUUGCGGUUUUCAACCCGACUUGGUCGAAUUGAAGUUAAGGCAACUCAACUUGAGAUCAACCAAACUCUUUUUCGGUAUUGCGAACUUCAACUAAGUUCAGUCGAAGUAUGAUUGGCGUUGCCAACCUAAGAAAGUGAAAUUUGACAGAUAGUGAAACAGCUAAAAUUUUGUAAACGACAUAUUUAAACAAUUGAAUUCAGUUGUCGCUCGCGAAAAAGUGAGUAAACACAUAUAAUAAACAAUAAAUAAAAAAUGGAUAUAAGUUUUGAUUUAUAUUAAAAACACGAAAAUACUGGGGGCAAAAUUGAUGUGCUACGUAUACGAAAAAGCCUUCGUGAUCACUCAAAUCCAUUGGAGCUUCCAAAUGCAAAGUAAGCCAUAGUUUUUUCACAAUUGAGUUGCUUUUAAAUAAUAUUUGUUGCAGAUUCAUAAGUUAUUUUCGAUUAAAUAACGUCUGCGAGGAACGGCCAUACCUCCUAUAUUAAAAUUAUGCGCAACUCUGCGUUUCCUUGCUGACGGUGGUUAUCAAAAAUGCAGUGGAAAUGAUUUUAACAUUGGGUUGGCGCAACCUACGAUAUCUUUAGUAAUUAAAGAGGUUAUAAAUAUAAUUGAACAACGUACAUAUUUGUGCCCGAUGGAUUAAAAUUCAAAUGACUGAGGAGGAGCAAAACGCUUCAAAAGUUUCAUUUUAUUCAAAAAGUGCUUUCCCGGGAGUAGUUGCAUCGACGGAACUCAUGUUCGCAUAAUUUCACCAAGAAAAGAAGUGCAACAUCUUUAUCUUAACAGAAAGGGCUACUACAGUUUAAACGUGAUGAUUGUAUGUAUAAAAUCUGAAUUAUAUUAGAAACAAAAUGGUAUAAUUUCUUAAAAUUUUUAUCUUUGCGAUUAUAAAAUGUCUAUUCGGUAUGUGGAUGCUAGGCAUGCAGGCGCAAAUCAUGAUUCUUUUGUUUUCAAUGUUAGCGAUUUGAAAGUGCAUUUACAGAACAACAUACAGAAUAACACUUGGAUCUUGGGCGACGCUGGCUAUCCUCUGCACAAAUUUUUAAUGACGCCUUAUCGCAUGGCGGAAGCUUCUUCACCCCAAGCACGCUACAAUACAGUACACUCAAAGGUCCGGAAUAUUGUAGAGCGGACAAUUGGUGUACUCAAGAGUAGAUUUCGAUGUCUUUUAUCUGUACGAGGUUUACAUUACACUCCUGAAAAGGCUACGUAAAUUGUGAAUGCUUGUUGCGCAUUGCACAAUAUUUGCCAACACUUUCAAGUGGAAUCUCCGGAAGAAAUACCAUCCACUUCAAAUACUACAAUGACCAAUGAUGUUUUGGACAUAGAAAGAGAAAAAGAGGAUACGGCUCGAAUAAUUCGCAAUAAUAUUAUGACUUCCCUCUAAAUAAUUAAAAUAUUAAAUUUCAUUUAUUCUUUCUAAUGUGGUAUUUAUUCAGGCAUAUAUUUAAAUUUUAUUUAAAUAAAUUCAUUAAAUAACAAUAUCACUUAAUUUAUUAAUGUAAACUUAAACUAUGGUACAAACAUAUAACAUAUCAUUUCAUUCCAGAAUAAUAAAAAAUAAAAUUAAAAAAAAUAUUACUUUGUGUCUUAAAUAACCAAAAAAAAAUCUUUGCGAAGAUUUUAAUUUAGCAAUUUUGAGGCGAUGCACCUCAAUUUGAAUUUAUUGUUUCCAAAUUGUGGCUUUCCUCUUCCUACUUCUGGAAACUUCUCCAUUAACUCCACCAAUUUUUCGAAUUGCUUUUUUGUUGCAACUUUAUUUUUUCUAAAAAUUUAUAAAAAAUAUUAAUUAAAAAUAAUUUAACAUUAAUUAAAAUAGUUAUUUUACCCGUCCUCCAUUUUUCUUUAAUAUUUUUUUGUAUUUCACUGCACGAAUGUUGAACUUCAACUGCUAUUAAGCAGUUGAAGUUUAUUUAUAUACUAGUCAACCCCACUUGUACAGAGUUGAAAACCGCAAUACCAAAAAAAUUGAAGUUCGAUCAUACUUCAACCGCAAUUUUUUUUGACGGAUUGAGUUGAAGUUGGCAAUACCGAAUUUUUAAACUUCGACUGAAAUGCAGUUGGGUUGAAAACCGCAAUAGGGGCAUAAUUUAUUAGGGAUUUGUGCGUUGUCCUUAAUCAAUAAGACGGGACAUUUAUUCGACUAAUUUUACUAUAUGUAUGUACAUAUAUGUAUAUAUCGAAAUAUGUCUACAAAAUUAAUUGUACAGUGGCUCACAUCGUAAGUCUGGCAAACAAUUGACAAAUAUUCUUUGUUUAUUUAAAAUAUGUAAAAUUUUUUUCAGUAUUUAUCGAUUCUAUAUACUUACUAAUGAUAAAACUUAGUAUUGUAAAAACAUAUUUCAUAAACACAUGUAAAUAUGACGGUACCCCAUUCAAAACUUCCUUAUAAAUACGGUCACACUGAAAGUCGGGCAAAUUAUGCGCACGAAGUAGACAGAAGUAUUUACUGUUAGAAUUUUGUAAAUAAAUAUUUUUUUAGUUUUAAUCUUCGUUUUGGUAGGUGAACCUUAUAUUUCGUUAUUUUUUUUAUUAUUUUUAAAAUGGGACGUAAAAUAAAACAAUCCACAUGUGAGAAGCGUAAAUUAGUGGUUCAUCAUUAUUUAAAAGGAAAAACAUAGCCGAUAUACUUAGUUAAGAAAAGUAAGUCCCUUUCAGUGUGGCCAUGUUCUUUUAUUGAAUUUCUAUGUAUUGAUUUCUAUUUCCUUUAUGUUUAAAUGGAAAUAUCAAAUUAUUUUGUAUUAUAAAAUAUGUGUAAAUAAAUAACUUCGAAACAAAACCAGCAUUUUAUCCAUUUAAUUUAAUUUUUACCCCGACUUACGAUGUGAGCCACUGUAUAUUUCCUGAUGCCUACAUAAUCUCACAUUUGUAUUCUCAAAACACACUCAUUUAACAAGUAUUUACUUGCAACUAUUUUCCAGCAACACCUCUUAUGUUAAACAAAAAAAUUAAGCAGGAUUAUUAUAAGUAGCAAAGGCCAAGUUCGAAUUAUAACAUAAAAAAUAAAAACGAGACGAAAAGAGAACAAACAUACAUACUUACUUAAUGCAUGCAAGUUAAUACCACCAGUUCACAUUACAUGAACAUAUUCUUUAUCUGUCAUAAAUAUGUAACAUGACACUUACGACCCAUAUGGUCCGUAUUAAGUAUCCGUAAGUAACAUUAUGUGUACUUUGCUAAUACUGUCCGCCUUAGGUGGUCCAAAAAUGUAACUCAUAGAUUGUAAGAUGAAUCUUCCCACUUGGAACAUAUGCCCUAUCUCAAGUGGAUUGUAGAUAUACUUCCUAGAAUGUAAGAUUAAUAUUUGUAUCUAGGCUUAAGCAAAAUAUUGUAUUUAAGAAAAUGUAAUAAAGAAAACGAGUUGACCACAGGCAGUUGACCACAGGGAGUUGACCACGGGCAGUUGCCCGUAGUUGCCCACGAGAACUAAACGGAGUUUUUAAUUGGCGAUGCUGCCAGGAGAUGAAAUAAUCUCUGGCGGACCAAAAUGUAACAAUAAAUUUCGGCGGUAACCAUUUAAGGGGACAAAAAAUCCCCGUGUUACCGUUUGAAAAACAAUCAAGUAUCCUCAAUUGAGGAGAAAAGUAAAAAAAAAGUUCAAAAAACGCAAACAAGUAUCGCGAAGUCGACUCAAAGCGUACGGUGGUAAUUAGAAGCGCGCAAAGCAAUUAACGGCAAAAUAAAAAUCGCUAAGAGACAUAAGAAAAAAUCUCAGCGCCACAAUUGAAAAAAAAUUCGAGUGUUUGCCAACUGCCUAUCGAACGCGCCACGUCUAUACGGAUUACGAGCGAAAAACAAGCUAACGUACGCGUUACAACAAUUGAAAAAAUAAGUAAAAUUGAGAAAGAAAAAACUACAGCAGUUUCACAAAUAAAGUGAUUUUAAAAUGUGAAUUGAAAAACCAAAAACUGAAAGUGAAAAUUUUUGAAAAUUUCAAACAAAUAGAAGAAAGUGCGUGGAUCUAUAAACUAUCUACAUAAAAACAAAUAAAUAAAAAAAUUCUGUAAAUCAGAAAUUUCACCAAAAAAUUGAUUUCAUUUAAACCUCGCACACGGCCGCCAACGACGACCAUUGCACAACCAACCGCCAAAAUUCAACUUAAAAAGCAACAGCAGCAGCAAAGUCAACAAUAGCCGCAACAGUAGUAACAGCAGCAAUAGCAACAGUAACAACAGCAGCAGUAGAAGCAGCAACAAAAAAUUAGUUGUAAGUAAGGCUUAUACAUAUGUAUUUAUUAAUUAAAUUAAGUAUAAAAAUUGUUUAUUGUGAGUAUUAAUUUGCUUCAUGAAACUCACAAAUAUAUAUAAAAAAAAACAAACAAAACCGAAAAAUAAAUUUAAAGGAAAAAAACUAUAAUUCUUUGGGAGCAGAGACUCCUGAAGUGCCUGCCGAAGAUUUUUUCGGCAAUAUUUUAUUAAAAAAAAAAAUAUUUUGGGACAAAAAGGUCCUAAAACGCCAGCUGAAGAUUCAUACCAGCAGAGUAAAAAGAAGAAUUAUACAAAAUAUUGUAGAACGAAAAUGUUCUACAACGCCAGCCGAAGUUCAUACCGGCAAAAUAAAACAAAAAAAUAAUGGAAAAAUAUAUAGAAUAAAUAUAAAUAUAUAUAUGUAAAUCAAAAUAUAAAAAUUCAAAAUUUAAAUUACUUUGAACAAAAAAAUCUUAAGGCACCAGCCGAAGAAAGUACCGGCAAUACUAAAAAUAAAAAAAUACUUUAAAAUUGUGGAACAAAAAGUUCAACAACGCCAGCCGAAGAUUUUACCGGUAUAAUAAAACAAAAAAGAAUGGCGAAAAGCCAAAUAGAAUAUAAAAAUACUAAAUUUAAAAUACUUGGGACUAGAAAAUCCUAAGACGCCAGUCGAAGAUAAUACCGACAAUAAAAUAAAAGAAUAUACUCCAAAAAAGGAGGUACUGAUAUUUUAAAUAAAUAAUUUCAAUAAUUGGGGUACUCACAAGCCAUCUUAAAGCAUCGUAAAAUCGUAAAAUUAUAAAUUUUUACACUUGCUUAAAAAAAAAAUGUUGUUAGAUUUCAUACAAAAAUGAGUUUACACAUUUACAAUUCUCAAUGUUAUGUUUUCGAAUCGUUAUAACUUAUGACUUUAUGCGACUUGAGAAAACCCUAAAUGUAAAAGAAAAAAUUGCUGAAAUGUAUUCAGGCAAUAAUACAAUAAAAGAUGUCAUAUAUAAAAACACUUCCAUCAAAAAAUAAUUAGAAGUCAAAAAUAAUAUAAAAUAUAUCGAAAGUAUAUUUAAGAGUCAAAUUUAAAUAAAUUAAGAUUUCAAAAUAGUACUGUUCAAAUUGAUAAAAUAGUCUAUAGCCUCACGUACUACUAUAUAUCCAUUUGAAUCGGGACGCUUCAAUUUAGAGGUGGGGGAGUUAAUACCACCAGUUCACAUUACAUGAACAUAUUCUUUAUCUGUCAUAAAUAUGUAACAUGACACUUACGACCCAUAUGGUCCGUAUUAAGUAUCCGUAAGUAACAUUAUGUGUACUUUGCUAAUACUGUCCGCCUUAGGUGGUCCAAAAAUGUAACUCAUAGAUUGUAAGAUGAAUCUUCCCACUUGGAACAUAUGUCCUACAUAUGCCCUAUCUCAAGUGGAUUGUAGAUAUACUUCCUAGAAUGUAAGAUUAAUAUUUGUAUCUAGGCUUAAGCAAAAUAUUGUACAUAUUUAAGAAAAUGUAAUAAAGAAAACGAGGCAGUUGACCACAGGGAGUUGACCACGGGCAGUUGCCCGUAGUUGCCCACGAGAA